CAUUGACAUGAUGAUUGUUCUUCACAGACCUGUUCUGAAAAUAAUUGACGACAUAAGAACGGCCAACUGAUUAUUCUUUCAUUUCAAUACUUUGAAUGAAUUUAGUUACAUUUUUCACAAUAUUUUAAAUCUUUUCCAGAUAACCUCAAUUUGUGGAAGUACCAUUUGUGGAUAACUGUAGGAAAUUAAGAUAACCCAAUUGUGUUCUAUGAGUAUUUUCUGAGGAAUUCAUCCCAUUGUGAAAAGAGGUGUGUAUUUGUUUAUGAUUUUAUCGAUAAUCAAUUCGGUUUCUUCAUUCUCAUUUUUCUUGGGUAAGAAAAGGCGACGUUGAUUGAAUUAUUAUCAAUAAAUCUUCAGAUAUGUAACUUUUUUUGUAAUUAAUUUUCAAGCCAAACAGAUAUUGAUAUUAUCUAUUUUGUUUUUUUCUAUGAUGAUUGUUCUUCACAGACCUGUUCUGAAAAAUAAUUGACGACAUAAGAACGGCCAACUGACAUAAACUGAAAAAAACUAUGACAAUUUUUUUUUUGUUUUGAACAUUUUUUCAUCCUCAUCUCUCUUUCAGAUCAUGCAGAAGAAGUACUUAUGAAUCAAACUAUGGAAUCAAAAACAAAUUUGGAUAGUCCAAUGAAACCCAGAAAUUGAAUUUGGACUGCACUCACAUAUGAAUUUGGAGGGAGAAAUAAUGAAACCCAGAAAUUAUAUUUGGACUGCACCUACACUUGAAAUUGGGGCGAGAAGCAAUGACUGUACUAAUGAGGUUUUCUGCGAGCUUAGCCAAGUUGACUUGAUUCUGUUGUCAUCUGGAACUGGAGUUCUCAUAUUGUUCUUAUUCAAAUUAGGUUGGAUGGAGAAGAGAUGAACAGAUUUAUUCUGUUUUGCACCUCUUUAGAGUCAAAUGUUUGAGCAUAAGGAGAUGAGGAAAUGUUGGAUGGAGAGAAGAGAUAUUUCCUGUUUUGAGUCAAAUAGUUUAUCAUAAGAAUAUAAGGAAAUAUCAGGUGUACCUACUUGGAGGGUUUCGAGGAAGGAUAUUCAUCUUAAAUCUUAAUAUUAAAUAUAUUGUUCCAUAGUAAGUAAACAUUUUAUAAAUUUCAACAUUUAAGGUACUUAAUAAAUAAAUGCAACAAAAAAAAA